AAUAAAAUAAGAUAUUGUUAAGUUCUUACUGUUUUUUAUGCUCUUUUCUUUUGGUACCAACAACUUUCUUUUGUUCUUCUAUUUCAAACCGAAGAUCGUUUGCCCUUUUACUUGUCAUGCACUUCUUCUUUUCAUGAAUGGUGCUUUGUAGAACACCAUCAUCAUGUUCCUGCUCAAUGGAAUUCUUGUUCAUUUCUUUCUCGUCUCACCCCUAUAGUCUUAUGACCACCUCAAUCCCUAGAACGGGAUUUCUACAAAAGAAUGAUACAUCAACAUAAAACAGACAAUGUGAAAAGCACAAAGAGAAAGGAAAAUAGGAGAAACAAGCAGCCUUUGUAUAUAUUCUUGAACGAAUAAUUAUUCUGUACAAUUAGUGUUACAUAUAUAUAGCAGAGGAAAGCAGACUCCUCCCUCACCACAAUUCCUAAGAUUCUUGUAACAGAAUAGAUAAAGAGAUAAGUAUUAGAUACAACUAAUUUAAUCAUAUAACUUUAUCAUGCCCCCGCAAGCUAAGUGUGGUGGAGGACACCACACAUAGCUUGGAACGAAGCCUUCCAAAAUGAGCAAAAGACAGCGGUUUUGUGAAGAUAUCUGCAAUUUGAUCGAGAGACAGGACAUGCUGAACUCGAAGAGUCUGAUUGAGAACUUUAUCACGAACAAAAUAUAAGUCCAAUUCGAUAUGUUUAGUGCGAGAAUGCAACACGGGAUUGGCACUCAACGAAACAGUGCUCAAGUUAUCACACCACAUAACAGGAACAUUGGGCAAAGGAAGCUGAAGUUCACUCAGGAAGGACUGAAUCCAAACCACCUCGACAGUGGCAUUAGCAAGACUACGAUACUCUGCUUCAGUACUUGAACGAGAGAUGGUGUGCUAUUUCUUGCAGCUCCAGGUAACAAGACAGUGACCAAGAAAUACACAAAAUCCAGAAGUAGACUUCCUAUCAUCAGGGUCAGUAGCCCAGUCCGCAUCAGAGAAGCCAAUAAAGGAAAGGGAAGGAGACUUAGGUAAAUGGAGGCCAUAAUCAUAGGUGCCCUGUAGAUACCGUAAAAUUCGUUUGACAGCCUUCCAAUGAGGCUCACGAGGGGAUUGCAUAUACUGGCAUACUUUGUUGACUGAAAAGGAGAUGUCAGGCCGUGUAAUAGUGAGAUACUGAAGAGCACCGACAAUGCUCCUAUAAAAAGAAGGAUCUGGAAAUGGGUCACCAACAGUAGCAGAUAAACGUUCACUCGUGAUCAUUGGUGUGGGUAAGGGACG
rnacentral:lncRNA from 1 species